CUGUGGUGUGUGUACUGAAGAGUGAGUCAGUGCACUCAGCCCCUGCAGUGAGGAGCCUUGAUGGAGCCAGAGCCAGGAGGUGCACAGUGUAAAAGUGUGGAAAAAGAAAACACAUGGAAAGUUCUUCUGGUGCAUGCAUGAAGCUGACACGUUACCAUGGAGACCUGGGCAGUACUGGCAUUGUGUCCCGGCGGGCGUCACUUCCAGGAUGACGUCACGCCCGAAACCGGAAGUGCGCCGCGGUCAUCGGGAGCGCACGCCAUUUGGCUGCUGUUCAGGGGAGCUAGACGGAACGGAUGGAGGGUGAAGUGAAGUGGCUUGUUCUUGUUGCAACACUGUCCCAGGGUUAAUUCACCUUUGCAGUCACUGCUACUCAGCUUUCCAAUCAACUAGUUUCCAGGUGUCCUAUGCCCUGGCAUGGUAUCACUGUGUUAUGUUGGAAAAGUGGGUGUACAGGUGUUGAUAUUGCAGUUAUAUAGGCACACACCAGCGGAUAUAUCAAACUACAGUAUGAACAACUCAAUUACUUAACCAGUGGUGUUCGUUCAUUGAAAGAUAGCUGGCACAACUGUAUUAACUGUUACAUGUAUACUGGUUAUGGAUCAGAGCUUGAGCCCACCAUGUCACACUACACAGUCUCACACAGUAAAAGACAAGAUGGCCCCUGCACAUUCUUAGUAGAGAUCCCAGUGGCCAUCUUAGGAUAGGGCAUGAAGCCUCCAGGAUGACUGAAGUAUACGUAGUAGCGUCUCUUUCAACGCGUUAUUCAGUGAUACAUAAUUUUUAUUUAGUGCUACAUAAGUAUACCACAAAAGCGCAGUAAACAGAUCACAAAGGUGCAGAGUAAUCACAGAUGUCAUAUUAUAGCAGCCCCCAUAGGUCACAAUGGUGGCUGUGCAGGUCCAUUCUUUAUAAAUGUGAGAAGCUUUUA